ACGUAGGUGGCAAGCGUUAUCCGGAUUUACUGGGUGUAAAGGGCGUGUAGGCGGGAAGGCAAGUCAGAUGUGAAAACUAUGGGCUCAACCCAUAGCCUGCAUUUGAAACUGUUUUUCUUGAGUGCUGGAGAGGCAAUCGGAAUUCCGUGUGUAGCGGUGAAAUGCGUAGAUAUACGGAGGAACACCAGUGGCGAAGGCGGAUUGCUGGACAGUAACUGACGCUGAGGCGCGAAAGCGUGGGGAGCAAACAG
rnacentral:rRNA from 1 species